rnacentral:rRNA from 3 species
GGACUACACGGGUAUCUAAUCCCGUUUGCUCCCCUGGCUUUCGCGCCUCAGCGUCAGAAGAGGUCCAGUCCGUCGCUUUCGCCACCGGCGUUCCUUCUGAUAUCAACGCAUUUCACCGCUCCACCAGAAGUUCCACAGACCCCUACCUCCCUCAAGACCAGCAGUAUCCAAGGCACUUUUCCGGUUGAGCCGAAAGAUUUCACCCCGGACUUGCUGACCCGCCUACGCGCCCUUUAAGCCCAGUGAUUCCGAACAACGUUAGGACGGUUCGUCUUACCGCGGCUGCUGGCAC